GGUAAUCCUCCAUAACAUUGCGAGAGGGCAUCUGAUUGCAAUUAAAGUUUCGGCGGUAUAUGAUUGGUGUGCGUUUGAUUAGCUAGUUGGUAGGGUAACGGCCUACCAAGGCGACGAUCAAUAGCUGGCGUGAGAGCGCGACCAGCCACACUGGAACUGAGACGCGGUCCAGACUCCUACGGGAGGCAGCAGUAGGGAAUAUUGGACAAUGGAGGAAACUCUGAUCCAGCCAUGCCGCGUGAUAGAUGAAGGCCCUCUGGGUUGUAAAUAUCUUUUAUCUGGGAAGAAACACUCCUAUUCUUAGGAACUUGACGGUACCAGAGGAAUAAGCACCGGCUAACUCCGUG
rnacentral:rRNA from 1 species